CGAGAGUGGAUGAUCCUCUAUCGACACUCAAUAGCCCUCGUAAGGUCGACUACCACUCCCAAUGACCAGCUGUACUAAAUCUGGGACAGCCAAACCUAUAAGUCUAGUAUCAAAGAGUGGAGUACUCAUACAAGACAUCCUUGGUGUCUCAAGUCUAAGAACCAGAUACACCACUAGGACUACGGAAUCGUUGUCUGACAAUAAGGCAUCA
rnacentral:lncRNA from 1 species